rnacentral:rRNA from 1 species
UACGUAGGGUGCGAGCGUUAAUCGGAAUUACUGGGCGUAAAGCGUGCGCAGGCGGUUCGUUAAGUCAGCUGUGAAAGCCCCGGGCUCAACCUGGGAACUGCGGUUGAAACUGGCGAACUAGAAUCUGGCAGAGGGGGGUGGAAUUCCACGUGUAGCAGUGAAAUGCGUAGAUAUGCGGAGGAACACCGAUGGCGAAGGCAAUCCCCUGGACCUGUACUGACGCUCAUGCACGAAAGCGUGGGGAGCAAACAGG